CAAGACAAGAAAUAAACCGGCCGACACUCUGACAUCUGGCCAAGACAAUUAAUUUUACUUCUCCAUAAUAAUAAGUAACAAUUUGAUCAUCAUUCCAUUUGAACUAAUUUUUAAGCAAUAUUUAACAUAGCCUUAUAUGGUUUUAAACCCUCUGAAACUGAUAUACUUAAAAUAAACAUAUGUUUUUGCAGAAACAUAAACCCUAGCAAGCCUUCUCUAGCUCCUAAUAUAUGUGUGUGCGCUAUCAAAGGCUCCUGUCUCCUCAAUACAAGAAUAAUGAUAAGAUCUACAUAAUAUUAUACUCAAAAUUAGUAUGCUUUUUAUUGUUGGCAUCAACCGAAUUCUGGGGUAGCAGUUACGUAGGGAUUUUACCAAUUAUAGAGAUUGUAGUUGAACAAUUUAAGUUAGUAAACCGAAAGCUAUAUUCAGAGUUCAUCAUACACAGAGAGCAGAGAAGUUAUCUGAAUAUCUGCCCUAAAGUAGCAGAAAAAAGAAGUUAGUUAAAUAGGGAGUUAAAGAUUUUUUAUCAAGUGUGUUAAAUUCAACAUUGACAUUGCUCCUCCAACCAAGACAGCGGUUUUACUUUGUUCAGGAACCCCUAAAUUUCCUGAUCACUUUUUGGGUAAAAAUUAUUUCCACACCUUGAGUUUGAAGUGUUUGUUUCUCCCAAUUUAAAGCCAGAGAGAACCCCGGCCUGCUCUUACCAUAUUAAUUUGUUUAAAUAUAUAUAAUAUGCAGGCAGCUGGAGAUCUGAGCAGAGCGGCAAAAAGGAAUGGACAAAGCCAGUGAUACUUGAUAAGAAUCUAAUUGCUUCUUCACAGUGAUUAGAAUAAUAACGAUUCGUCAUCAGUCAAAUGAAGAUGAAAAUGAAAACUGUUGAUGCACAAAA
rnacentral:lncRNA from 1 species